CCUACGGGAGGCUGCAGUGGGGAAUAUUGCACAAUGGGGGAAACCCUGAUGCAGCGACGCCGCGUGAGUGAAGAAGUAUUUCGGUACGUAAAGCUCCAUCAGCAGGGAAGAAAAUGACGGUACCUGACCUAGAAGCCCCGGCUAAAUACGUUCCAGCAGCCGCGGUAAUACGUAGGGGGCAAGCGUUAUCCGGAUUUACUGGGUGUAAAGGGAGCGUAGACGGGAGGGCAAGUCUGGAGUGAAAUCCCAUGGCUUAACCAUGGAACUGCUUUGGAAACUGUGCAGCUGGAGUGCAGGAGAGGUAAGCGGAAUUCCUAGUGUAGCGGUGAAAUGCGUAGAUAUUAGGAAGAACACCAGUGGCGAAGGCGGAUGACUGGACUGUAACUGACGUUGAGGCGCGAAAGCGUGGGGAGCAAACAGGAUUAGAUACCCGUGUAGUC
rnacentral:rRNA from 1 species